rnacentral:lncRNA from 1 species
CGCUAUCGAAACGGGGCAGCUGAGAAUGAUAUGUUACGCAGUAAAUGAUACGCUGUGGCUUAACGAUUUUUCAGAUAGCACGAAUGCCAGCAAUCGUGCAAAGUAGGAGUCCAAAGGGGGACAUGGUUGGUGUGGUUGGGUGAAAGCAACGUGUUAUUGUGGUUAAAAAAGAUGAAUCAGUAUACAUGUGAUAUAACUGUCAAAGCCGGAAUGUUGAAAGCAUACAUCCCGCCCAAGGCAUGCUGGGAGGAUCUCCUAUCAGG